AUCACUGCUUGCAGUGAUUGAUUAGUGGCGAACGGGUGAGUAACACGUGAGGAACUUGCCCAUGAGCGGGGGACAACAUUCGGAAACGGAUGCUAAUACCCCAUAGGUGGAUUGGUCGCAUGACGAAUUCAUUAAAGGUGGCUUUGCUACCACUCAUGGAUAGCCUCGCGGCGUAUUAGCUAGUUGGUAAGGUAAUGGCUUACCAAGGCAGUGAUACGUAGCCGACUUGAGAGGGUGAUCGGCCACACUGGGACUGAGACACGGCCCAGACUCCUACGGGAG
rnacentral:rRNA from 1 species